rnacentral:rRNA from 1 species
UACGGAGGGGGCUAGCGUUGUUCGGAAUUACUGGGCGUAAAGCGCACGUAGGCGGCUUUGUAAGUUAGAGGUGAAAGUCCGGGGCUCAACUCCGGAAUUGCCUUUAAGACUGCAUCGCUUGAACACGGGAGAGGUGAGUGGAAUUCCGAGUGUAGAGGUGAAAUUCGUAGAUAUUCGGAAGAACACCAGUGGCGAAGGCGGCUCACUGGACCGUUGUUGACGCUGAGGUGCGAAAGCGUGGGGAGCAAACAGG